rnacentral:rRNA from 1 species
UAAUACGUAGGUGGCAAGCGUUGUCCGGAUUUACUGGGCGUAAAGAGCGCGCAGGCGGUCGUGCAAGUCGAGUGUGAAAGCCCCCGGCUCAACUGGGGAGGGUCAUUCGAUACUGCUCGACUCGAAGGCGGGAGAGGGAAGUGGAAUUCCCGGUGUAGUGGUGAAAUGCGUAGAUAUCGGGAGGAACACCAGUGGCGAAGGCGACUUCCUGGCCCGUUCUUGACGCUGAGGCGCGAAAGCUAGGGGAGCAAACGGG